GGGUUGUGAGGUUAAGCGACUAAGCGUACACGGUGGAUGCCCUGGCAGUCAGAGGCGAUGAAGGGCGUGCUAAUCUGCGAUAAGCGCCGGUAAGGUGAUAUGAACCGUUAUAACCGGCGAUACCCGAAUGGGGAAACCCAGUGUGAYUCGUCACACUAUCAUUAACUGAAUCCAUAGGUUAAUGAGGCGAACCGGGGGAACUGAAACAUCUAAGUACCCCGAGGAAAAGAAAUCAACCGAGAUUCCCCCAGUAGCGGCGAGCGAACGGGGAGGAGCCCAGAGCCUGAAUCAGCAUGUGUGUUAGUGGAAGCGUCUGGAAAGGCGCGCGAUACAGGGUGACAGCCCCGUACACAAAAGCGCAUGUGCUGUGAGCUCGAUGAGUAGGGCGGGACACGUGGUAUCCUGUCUGAAUAUGGGGGGACCAUCCUCCAAGGCUAAAUACUCCU
rnacentral:rRNA from 1 species